rnacentral:rRNA from 1 species
AGCGUUGUUCGGAAUUACUGGGCGUAAAGGGUUCGUAGGUGGCUUGCUAAGUCAGACGUGAAAUCCCUCAGCUUAACUGGGGAACUGCGUCUGAUACUGGCGAGCUUGAGUGUAGGAGAGGAACGCGGAAUUCCAGGUGUAGCGGUGAAAUGCGUAGAUAUCUGGAGGAACACCGGUGGCGAAGGCGGCGUUCUGGACUGCAACUGACACUGAAGAACGAAAGCCAGGGGAGCAAACGGG